GGCCCCAUCGUCUAAAGGCUUAGGACACGUCGUUCUCAGCGACGAAAUACCGGUUCGAAUCCGGUUGGGGCCAUCA
rnacentral:tRNA from 1 species